rnacentral:rRNA from 1 species
GACGAACGCUGGCGGCGUGCCUAAUGCAUGCAAGUCGAGCGACGCAUCUCGGAGGGGUAACCCACUGGGAUGACGGAGCGGCGAACGGGUGAGUAACACGUGACCAACCUGCCUCGAAGACUGGGAUAGCCCGGGGAAACCCGGAUUAAUACCGGAUUGCUUCCUCAUACCGCAUGGUGAGAGGAGAAAGCUUUAGCGCUUCGAGAUGGGUCGCGGCCUAUCAGGUAGUUGGUGGGGUAACGGCCUACCAAGCCAUCGACGGGUAGGCUGGUCUGAGAGGACGAUCAGCCACACUGGAACUGAGACACGGUCCAGACUCCUACGGGAGGCAGCAGCAGGGAAUAUUGCACAAUGGGCGAAAGCCUGAUGCAGCAACGCCGCGUGGGGAUG